rnacentral:lncRNA from 1 species
GUCUAUAUACAGGUUCUGGAGCCCUGGAUAGAACUCACUCUGUAGCCCAGGCAAGCCUUGAAUGUCUAAUCCCCCUGCCUCAGCUCCAUGAGUAACUGGGAUUACAAGCAUGCAUCACCGGGCUUGACAGAUAUUAAAAGUUACAGAGAAAGGUGGUCAUACUCGCCAUAAUCAUUACGUAUGAUGAUUGAAACCCAGCUCACCUUAAACCAGUUGGUUUUCAGGAAUAAAGGCUUGUGCCUGAUCCCUAGAGCAUGUGUUUGGCUCUCCCCUCACCAGUGGGCAUCAGAGUGUGUGGGUACUUAUACCUGAGGAUGGGGGGCAGAGUCACAACACCAUGACUCAGUGGGCUACAGUGGAUAGGUUGGAACAGCUGCAGGAUCCUGGGGCCUCAGGCCUCUGCCCCUACCAUGUCUUUCCAGAUCCCUUUGCCCGGUGUCUUUGGCUCCCUUUCUCUUCACCUGAAAACCCUUGGCAGAAGACCCAGAAGAGGCUAGUGCCCAGAUGUGCUGAUGAGCCUCUCCAAGGACGAGAAAGGGCUUCCUGUAGAGGCAGACCAGGCUGUUGGCCUUCUAGGAUGCUGCAGGUGGACUCAGGGUGGCUCUCAGCAGCCUUGGGUGUGCAGACUGCGGGCCAGAUGAGACCUCUUCAGAACAGAACAAACAAAGAAACUGAAGUCACCCCGUGCUACCCAGGUGAAUUCCAGGUCUUUAAAAAGCCCUGGUCUUUCAUGGAAAUACAUCAUUCUAUUAAAGGAAUCUAGAAAAAAUUAAAAAUCUCUCUAUAUAGAAUACCAUUUAAUAAAAAGUACGAGAGCACAGAAAAUAAUGAGUGGUGAGAGUACCAGAUUGUCCAAAG